GCGCCUGUGAUGGGUCCGGCGUAAGACAACUAAGAGUUUCGCAGGCAACCGUCUUACGUACGAUCCCGUACAUUCAGGGAAUUUCCCUGAAUUUAACUAUUUCU
rnacentral:sRNA from 1 species